rnacentral:rRNA from 1 species
GACGAACGCUGGCGGCGUGCUUAACACAUGCAAGUCGAACGGAAAGGCCCCUUUGGGGGUACUCGAGUGUCGAACGGGUGCGUAACACGUGAGUAACCUGCCCUUGACUUUGGGAUAACUUCAGGAAACUGGGGCUAAUACCGGUAAGGAAUCAUUGCUGCAUGGUGGGGGUUGGAAAGCGUCGGCGGGUUUGGAUGGACUCGCGGCGUAUCGGCUUGUUGGUGUGGUAGUUGCUUACCGAGGCUGUGACGGGUAGCCGGCCUGUGGGGGCGACCGGCCACCUUGGGACUUAGAUGCGGCCCAGACGCCGACUGGUGGCCGAAGUGGGGAAGCCUGACCAAUGGGCGGCGGCCUGAUGCAGAAGCGCCGCGUGCGGGAUGACGGCCUUAGGGUUGUAAACCGCUUGCAGCAGGGGCGAAGCUUGUGGUGACGGUACCUGCAGAAGAAGCACCGGCUAACUACGUG